rnacentral:rRNA from 1 species
GACGAACGCUGGCGGCGUGCCUAAUACAUGCAAGUAGAACGCAGUUGCGAACGGGUGAGUAACGCGUAGGUAACUGCCUCAUAGCGGGGGAUAACUAUUGGAAACGAUAGCUAAUACCGCAUACUGUGAGAUGGACCUGCGUUGUAUUAGCUAGUUGGUGUGGUAACGGGCCACCACGGCGACGAUACAUAGCCGACCGGAGAGGGUGAUCGGCCACACUGGGACUGAGAGACGGCCCAGACGCCUACGGAAGGCAGCAGUAGGGAAUCUUCGGCAAUAGACGGAAGUGUGAACGAGCAACGCCGCGUGAGUGAAGAGGGUUUUCGGGUCGUAAGACUCUGUAGUUAGAGAAGCGGUAUCUAACCAGAAAGCCACGGCUAACUACGUGCCAGCAGCCGCGGUAAUUC